rnacentral:misc_RNA from 1 species
GUUUCUCAUUGUUUCUCAUGGUUGGUGUCAGAUGGAUAAUAUAUAAACAGUUGUAAUUCCUCUUCGAGGCAAAGGGGCCCUAUUUGUGGGUUGUCGUUUUCGCUCGUUUGUUUCCCAACAAUCCUGUUGGUCAACUGCAAUAACGUCGGAUGAUUCACCCGAGGUCAAAGCACGAGCCGACUAAUUUUGUAAUGAUCCAACCGCAGGUUCACCUACGGUUA